rnacentral:rRNA from 1 species
UGCAGUCNACGGCAGCGCGGGGCAACCUGGCGGCGAGUGGCGAACGGGUGAGUANUAUAUCGGAACGUACCCUGGAGUGGGGGAUAACGUAGCGAAAGUUACGCUAAUACCGCAUACGAUCUAAGGAUGAAAGUGGGGGAUUCGCAAGAACCUCAUGCUCCUGGAGCGGCCGAUAUCUGAUUAGCUAGUUGGUAGGGUAAAAGCCUACCANGGCAUCGAUCAGUAGCUGGUCUGAGAGGACNACCAGCCACACUGGAACUGAGACACGGUCCAGACUCCUACGGGAGGCAGCAGUGGGGAAUUUUGGACAAUGGGCGCAAGCCUGAUCCAGCAAUGCCGCGUGAGUGAAGAAGGCCUUCGGGUUGUAAAGCUCUUUUGUCNGGGAANAAA